UAUAGGUAAGGGAAGUUGAAAAAAUGGAUCCAUAACCUCGGGAAAAGGAUGGCUCUAAGGCCUAUGCAUGGGGGUCCCACUCCUAAAUCUGUCAACUGCUAGUGCCUUACUCGAGCUACAGGUUGCCGUGUGUUUGCCAAGGGACAGAUUGGGAAUGGGUCCCUCGUGCGCCUUCCUCGGGUGACUAACAUUCAACUUAGAAUUGGUAUGGACGAGGGGAAUCUAACUGUUUAAUUAAAACAAAACAUUGCGAUGGUCCUUACAGAUUCUGCCCAGCGCUUUGAAUGUCAAAGUGAAGAAUGUAACGCCCCUUACGCGUACUUGAGAUCGGGACAAGGUUUGAGGCAUUACUGUACAAUUUCGCAAGUACUCAGGUAAAACAGGGUCAAAAAAUUUCAUUCAAAAUUAAAACCCAUCAAUCAUAUUCCCAAUGUCUCUAUUAUA
rnacentral:ncRNA from 1 species